rnacentral:misc_RNA from 1 species
AACGCAACUUGCGCUCCUUGGUAUUCCUCGGAGCAUGCCUGUUUGAGUGUCAUGAAUAUCUCAAGUCCCCAUGGCUUUGGCACUGGUGGAUUUGGACUUGGAGGUUGCCCAUAAUUGGCUCCUCUCAAAUGUAUUAGCUGGAACCUCAUGUGUAUCUCCGGUGUGAUAAUAUCUACUCCGUCUGAUCACGAGCAGGAUCUGCUUCUAAUCGUCCUCAAAGGACAAUACUUGACAUUUAACAUCAAAUCAGGUAGGACUACCCGCUGAACUUAA